GGAGCAGUUUAGCCAGCACAAGGGUGGAGCUGGGGUGGAGGUGGGUUGCUGGUUGCCUGUCGAAGCAGAGGAAGAGGCCAUCAGCUGGUUGGGGUGGCUACCUUUCAUUAACUGCGGAUCAGCGCUUGACGUCGUGACCUGCCAGAACUAACGCUAUGCUUCAUUUAAUGAAUUAAAAAAAAAAAAAGACAUUUCUUAGGCUUUAAUGAAUUGAUGUAAAGACAGUUUGAUCAGGUUAGGUUUCAAUCUCUGUAUUGCAGACAUUAUUUGAUAUUAUAUAUUUCCAAAUGCCAUUGAGUUAGUCUCAUCUCCUACCUGAACUGCUAAAGCCCACCUUAGACAAUUUAUAAAUGUUCUUUGACUUCCUGAAAAAGGGGAACAUAAUUUCUCGGCCUGAGCUUCUUUCUGUGCCAAACCCAGACUUCAACGCCAUAAAUCAUCCCAAACUGAAAUGUUUUUGUACAGUAACACCUCUGUCUGUACAUGAUUCAUUUUCUAUUAAACUCCAAGGAUAAGAGGUCAUUGCUUUCAAUAUCAGAUUAACAGUCCAACAGUAGGGGACUAUUUAUACGUCUUCAUGCACUCUGAAGGAUUACUCAUUUUUACAUGUCUGGUGCAGAGACGGAUAAAAUGUCUCAUACUUGGUGCAGAUGGUAAAUAGUGCAUCCUAAUUCUGAUGACUGAGUUGAUCCUGGUAGGUUUCAGCCCUGCAUAUCCUCUCCUCCAGCGUGGGCAGUGGUAACAAAGACAGUGACUAAAGAAGAGAGAGAGAGAGAGAGAGAGAGAGAGAGAGAGAGAGAGAGAGAGAGUGAAAACCACUAGAUGCCAAGAAGUGUUGUGUGGCACACUGAGUGGAGAACAGUGCAGAGCCAUCCUCAUUAAAUUCUUGCAGUGGCGUUGCUUUUUCCACUUUAAUGCUUUGGAGAUGCUGGCUUCCUCCUCCGAGACAUACAGGCACUUGGAGGGGCCACUGAGACUUGACUACAGCCCAAUUUGUCUUAGUUCCAGGGGGACGUGGUUUAAACAGCAGUGCCCUCUCCUCUUUGGUAAUCUCUGGUGACCCUUCAGUGGCUCUAUCUUACAUCUCUGUUGUGCUUUAAGCUGCUUUGCUCUUUGGUGUCUGACGUCUUGGAGCUGUCCUAUCUGACUUCGUGUUUUGUUUUUGUCUCUCAAUCUUCAAGUCAAUUUCCCCCCUCUCGAACUGGGGCGAGAUAAAACUCCUGAAAGAUUUUUGUUGUUAUUCCUCCUUAAAUUACGUGGGGAUACAAAGUGGCAGGACAACAUUUAACAGGUGAGUUGAAGCACUGCAUGUUUUAAAACCGAGAAGAUAGAAGUCUUUUUUUUUCAAGUCUCUAAGAGUCCCAUGAGCUUUUGUGUCUCAUUAGAUAAACUGCAUUAAACUAUUGCUGUUAAGCCGCUACAUAGAGGAGGUAAAUGUGAGAAAUGAAGCAAUUACAAAAGAGGGAAAACAAGCAGGAACAUCAAGCAUGUGCAGAGACUAAAUGGGAUUGUGUUAACUUUAAGCAUCCCUGCAAUUACUUUAAUAGCAUCAUGAAGUCAAACUACCUGAAAGAGCCGGAUGAUCAUUGUAAUGGCUUCAAACUGUGGAUUAAAUCUAUAAUCCCCUUUUAGCUCACUGAA